rnacentral:misc_RNA from 1 species
GAUGAAGAACGCAGCGAAAUGCGAUAAGUAAUGUGAAUUGCAGAAUUCAGUGAAUCAUCGAAUCUUUGAACGCACCUUGCACCCUUUGGCAUUCCGAAGGGUAUGCUCGUUUGAGUGUCAUUGUACUCUCACACUCUCCGAUCCUAUGGAUUCGGGGAGCGGUGGACUUGGGUGUUGCUGCCUUUCCUUGUGGCUCACCUCAAAUGUGUCAGUGCACCUCUUGGUUGGACAUAGUACGGCGUGAUAAGUGUCUUCGCCGGCACCUCGCAAGAGGGUGGCCGAUCGGGGGCUCUGUGCUUUCAAACCGUCUUCGGACAAUUUCUGACAACUUGACCUCAAAUCGAGUAGGACUACCCGCUGAACUUAAGCAUAUCAAUAAGCGGAGGA